rnacentral:lncRNA from 1 species
GGUGACAUUCAUCAGAAUCUCUCUUAACUACACGAUUUACUUCACCCCAGACACUUCUACUGAUGUGAAUCAAGAGAACAUCCCUGGCUUUGGCACCCUCAAGUAUGCCUCCAGUGCAGAAUGAGCAUUCUACUUCUGGACCCUGGGCUGCAUCAUAGAGACACUCUCCCCUGUCCCAAUCCCAGGUGCAUGUUCUCCUAUUUCCCUUCUGUUCCUAUAACAUUCUUUGUGCUUUGAUUCCUUUGCUCUCCCUUCUAGUAGCUUGUGACUAUUCCCAAUCCUAAUGAACAUUGACUGUGGGUUCUAUAGAUUAACUAUAGUUUCUAUAGAGUUCUACAUUAAAAAUAUGUCUCUUUCCUCCUCAACAAUAAAGAUUUUUACAUAUGAGCGAUGUAAUG